CGCAGGCGGGACGGGCAAGGUCUGGACAGAGCCACAGGCUGGUGCUAGCAGCGUGUGACCGACACUGCCGGGCUCUCUCGAGGCUCAGGCCUGGCCACAGCAGAGCUGCCGGGGGCAGGCUGGGCCCCCACAGCACUUUCGAGGGUUCUUCUGAUAUCAGGGCAAUUGCGGCAACAGUAAAAGAAGAGCUGUGCGACGACCACGACUAGCAACGUAAAAUACUUUAACAACAGUGAAAGCAGGACAUAGAAAGAUGCCCAUUUACAAAAGGAUGUGGAGAUAAUUUACAAAAGGAUGCAGAGAUACUUCAGAAUGUCACCAGGGGAAACAUCCAUCCCAGCCAGGGGCACUGCCCAAAUAAAGGUUGUAGAUGGGAAUUCAAGACCAAUGCUUCUGUGGUUUUACUGUGGAUUCCAGCAGAAGAAAUAUGUAGGUUAUCUUGGAAAGGUUAAUGGGGAAGUAAUAACUACUGAGACAGGACAAACCCCC